rnacentral:rRNA from 1 species
UACGGAGACCCCGAGCGUUGUUCGGAUUCAUUGGGCUUAAAGCGGGUGUAGGCGGAGCGGCAAGUACUGAGUGAAAGCCCCGGUCUCAACCCGGGAAUUGCUUGGUAUACUGCCGUUCUUGAGGCAGGUAGGGGUCACUGGAACCUUAGGUGGAGCGGUGAAAUGCGUAGAUAUCUAAGGGAACGCCGGUGGCGAAAGCGGGUGACUGGGCCUGUUCUGACGCUGAGACCCGAAAGCGUAGGUAG